rnacentral:rRNA from 1 species
CCCCUCGCCCGCCGCGCGGGGCGGGCGGGGGGGGGGCACGGGGGGCCUACGGGAGGCAGCAGUGAGGAAUAUUGCGCAAUGGGCGAAAGCCUGACGCAGCAACGCCGCGUGGAUGAUGAAGUUCUUCGGAAUGUAAAAUCCUUAUGCAGAGGAAGAAAAUGCUGGUCA